CUUGGUCAUUUAGAGGAAGUAAAAGUCGUAACAAGGUUUCCGUAGGUGAACCUGCGGAAGGAUCAUUAGAGGAAUUCUAAAAGGACGCUGGUCUUUGCUCAGUGUUUAGCAGCCUGAGCUAAAGGCGAGGUCCAAGAUUCUUUACUACACUUGUGAACUGGCCCUUUUUUAUUACACUCUGUAAAUGAAAAUUUGUAUGGUUAUCAUUGUUAUGAUCAAAUAUAAAUAACUUUCAGCAACGGAUCUCUUGGCUCUCGCAUCGAUGAAGAACGCAGCGAAUUGCGAUAAGUAAUGUGAAUUGCAGAACUCAGUGAAUCAUCGAAUUUUUGAACGCAUCUUGCGCCUUUUGGUAUUCCGAAAGGCACGCCUGUUUGAGUGUCAUGCACAUAUCAAUCUGUUAAAGAUUUUCGCAAGGAAGCCUUUGACUGAAUUGGAAUUUGAAGGCUUUGCUCAUUGAUUACAUGAUGAGCUCCUUUGAAAAGCAUGGAUGAUGUAUUCCAUUUUCACGGUUAAGUCGCAAGACAAAUGUGAUUAGGAAUCAAUUGACGGUAGCACGUCAAAGAUUGUACAAGACCUCAAAUCAGGUGGGAUUACCCGCUGAACUUAAGCAUAUCAAUAAGCGGAGGAAAAGAAACUAACAAGGAUUCCCUUAGUAACGGCGAGUGAAGCGGGAAGAGCUCAAAUUUGUAAUCUGGCGGUCUUGUGCCGUCCGAGUUGUAGCCUCGAGAAGCGUCUUCUGCGUUUUUGCAGUUUGUGAGUCUGUUGGAAUAUAGCGUCAGUGCGGGUGACAAUCCCGAAGACAAGCUGUUAUUAAUGCUCUAUGAUGCGCUUUCGAAGAGUCGAGUUGUUUGGGAAUGCAGCUCCAAGUGGGUGGUAAAUUCCAUCUAAAGCUAAAUACAGGCGAGAGACCGAUAGCAAACAAGUACCGUGAGGGAAAGAUGAAAAGCACUUUGGAAAGAGAGUUAAAAGUAUGUGAAAUUGCUGAAAGGGAAACGCUUCAGAUCAGCCUCGAUAGGCCGGUCUUCAACGUCUCAUUUUGAGGCGUGUACGGACUCGGUCAACGGGCCAGCAUCGGUUGGUUUCAGUCUAAAAGGGUAGAGGAAAGGUGGCAGUUUUUCGGAGCUGUGUUAUAGUCCUUUACUUGAUAGGUCUGGAUACCGACCGAGGGCAGUAGUGUGUCAAUGAAGUCCUUGGACUUUCAACACUUUGGAUGCUGGCAAAAUGGUCUGAAGCGACCCGUCUUGAAACACGGACC
rnacentral:rRNA from 1 species